rnacentral:lncRNA from 1 species
UAAAGUGACAUCUUUUGAGAACGUUCAGAUUUACAACCUGGUCACCACAAUCCUUAAUAUACAAGGAGCAUCCAAUAAUGGGACAACGUCAUUUCCGAAGACCAUUCUUUUACCUAGCCACUGAGACAUUUUUGACAAAGCUAAUUAGGGAUGGAUUCUUCAUGCUACGAGGUGAGAGAAUAUCAUGUGAUUUUUGUAUGCUUCACUGCAAUUAGAGAAAAAAAAGAUUGUUAUAGUUGAUUUAAGGUGAUGCACCUUUUGUACCUCGUGGCAUGACUUCACUUUUAUUGGCUUCUGGAAUUAGUCUAUUAGGUGUUGCAGCUUUUAUUUUUAUAGCUGGCCUAUUUUUAAAUUACUAGACUGUGGCUGCUGUGUAGAUAGAGAAUGAAUCAAUAAAAGAAUGUCCUUCGAUAUAUUUGUUUAACAUAUUCAUAUUUGUGGCUGUUGUGUAGAUAGAGAAUAAAUCGAUAAAAGAAUGUCCUUCGAUAUUUGUUAAACAUAUUCAUAUUCUAUCUUUUUUCUAAAUGAGAAGUUAUCCGUAUCCAUAUUCUAUCUUUUACUCCAUAUGUUUGGUAUGUAUUUUGUUAUCUAUCAUCUCGUUUCCUUUGUGCAUUUUUGGCGUUUC